CGGGGGGGGCAAGCGUUGUUCGGAAUUACUGGGCGUAAAGGGCCAGUAGGCGGCCAACUAAGUCGGAUGUGAAAUCCCCAGGCUCAACCUGGGAACUGCAUCCGAUACUGGAUGGCUUGAAUUCGGGAGAGGGAUGCAGAAUUCCAGGUGUAGCGGUGAAGUGCGUAGAUAUCUGGAGGAAUACCGGUGGCGAAGGCGGCAUCCUGGACCGACAUUGACGCUAAACGGCGAAAGCUAGGGGAGCAAACGGGAUUAGAUACCCCGGUAGUCCUAGCCCUAAACGAUGAAUGCUUGGUGUAACGGGUAUCGAUCCCUGUUGUGCCGAAGCUAACGCAUUAAGCAUUCCGCCUGGGGAGUACGGUCGCAAGGCUG
rnacentral:rRNA from 1 species